UACGUAGGGGGCAAGCGUUGUCCGGAUUCAUUGGGCGUAAAGAGCGUGUAGGCGGCCAGGUAGGUCGGUUGUGAAAACUGGAGGCUCAACCUUCAGAGGUCGACCGAAACCAUCUGGCUAGAGUCCGGGAGAGGAGAGUGGAAUUCCUGGUGUAGCGGUGAAAUGCGCAGAUAUCAGGAGGAACACCGGUGGUGUAGACGGCUCACUGGACCAUAACUGACGCUGAGGCGCGAAAGCUAGGGGAGCAAACAGG
rnacentral:rRNA from 1 species